UCUCUUUUUCUCUUUCUUCUUUCUGCCUGGCUAUGCACUACGUCAGCUAGUUAUAUUGUCAAUCACUGCAGCAGCAACGAUGCCACGCAUUUAGGAAAGAAAAGACAAUACCUUUUGUUGAAGGCAGCCUGGAAGGGUACUUCAAAUAUUUUCUUGUAAUAUUUAUCUUGUGCAUGCUUUUGCAAACACAUUAAACAGCCCAUCUAAUGGUGACAACAUUGACACAUUCAUAGUUCUGGACCUAAAAUGAUUAAAAAGGAGGAGCCAGAUGAGGUGCUUCGGGCAUCUGUUCAGGUUGCCAACCGAACGCCUCCCUACAGAGGUGUUUCGGGCACGUCCGACUGGUAGGAGGACACUUUGGGAAGACUAUAUUUCCCGGCUGGCCUGGGAACGCCUCGGGAUCCUUCCGGAAGAGCUGGGCGAAGUGGCUGGGGAGAGGGAAGUCUGGGCAUCCCUGCUUAGGCUGCUUCCCCCGCGACCCGACCUCAGAUGAGCGGAAAAAGAUGGAUGGAUCGAUGGAAAAUAUACACCUGCAUUAGGUCAUAAGCUUAGGGGCUCAUCUCCCUCUGAGAGCAAGACCUAAGGACAUCCAGCUCACCUUGUGGGCUACAAGAUGGCGUCGCCUUGUAGCCACUGCAAAACCCCGGGAAAAAUGGAUUCCAAAACUGUAUGCAAACUCAUCAACUAAAUGCUUGAAGUUUUAUGAUUUGAUACUUUGACUUUGUUCAACAUGAGUAUCCAACUUUGCUACAAAAUGCUCAAGUCAGAAAAAACUAGGCAGGAACUUGGAUGAAAUCACAAUUGGUCCAAAUGAUAGUGUUGUGGAAAACUGAAGAAGAAGGACCCUUACCAGAGAGGACGAAAACUAUUCAUAUCCUGAUAAUGAAGAGGAGGCCUUUCCAACCACUGAGGAGGAAGCAAUCAGGAGACUGACACAAUUUUCAAAAGAAGAGGGGGUAUCAUCAGGAGAUCGUGCAGUGAGACAUUCCUCCAAAGGUAAAGCUGCCCAGAAAAGAAGACCCUGUACACAGAAAGAGGUGAAGGCUGUCAAGAACUGCACUGGCUUCCUGUGCACUUAAGAUGUGACUUUAAGGUUUUACUACUUACGUAUAAAAUACUACACGGUCUAGCUCCAUCCUAUCUUGGCGAUAGUAUUGUACUAUAUGUCCCGGCAAGAAAUCUGCGUUCAAAGGACUCCGGCUUAUUAGUGAUCCCCAAAGCCCCAAAAAAGUCUGCGGGCUGUAGAGCUUUUUCAUUUCGGGCUCCAGUACUCUGGAAUGCCCUCCCGGUAACAGUUCGAGAUGCUACCUCAGUAGAAACAUUUAAGUCUCACCUUAAAACUCAUUUGUAUACUCUAGCCUUUAAAUAGACUCCCUUUUUAGACCAGUUGAUCUGCCGUUUCUUUUUUCUUUUUCUUCUAUGUCCCACUCUCCUUUGUGGAGAGUCCGGUCCGAUCCGGUGGCCAUGUACUGCUCGCCUGUGUAUCGGCUGGGGACAUCUCUGCGCUGCUGAUCAGCCUCUGCUUGGGAUGGUUUCCUGCUGGCUCCGCUGUGGACGGGACUCUCGCUGCUGUGUUGGAUCCGCUUUGGACUGGACUCUCGCGACUGUGUUGGAUCCAUUAUGGAUUGAUCUUUCACAGUAUCAUGUUCUCAUAUGUUCUCACAGUCAUCAGUAUCAUCAGUAUCACAGUAUCAUGUUCUCAUAGUCAUCAUUGUCACCGACGUCCCACUGGGUCAUUAUUGUCACCGAUGUCCCACUGGGUGUGAGUUUUCCUUGCCCUUAUGUGGGCCUACCGAGGAUGUCGUAGUGGUUUGUGCAGCCCUUUGAGACACUAGUGAUUUAGGGCUAUAUAAGUAAACAUUGAUUGAUUGAUUGAAGAAGCACAUGAAGCGAUCCAUCCCUUCUGGUAUUGUAACUAUGACUGUUUAAAAUGUUUGAGGGCCAAACCGGAAGUUGUCCAAAACCAGGAAUGGCAAGCAUUGAAGUUCUAUGUGUACAACUGCGUCACGGCCUACAAAAGGAGAUUGCAGGUAAAAUAAGAGAUAAUCAGCAAGACAAGUACAAACCCCGUUUCCAUAUCAGUUGGGAAAUUGUGUUAGAUGUAAAUAUAAACGGAAUACGAUGAUUUGCAAAUCAUUUUCAACCCAUAUUCAGUUGAAUAUGCUACAAAGACAACAUAUUUGAUGUUAAAACUGAUAAACAUUUUUUUUUUUUUGCAAAUAAUCAUUAACUUUAGAAUUUGAUGCCAGCAACACGUGACAAAGAAGUUGGGAAAGGUGGCAAUAAAUACUGAUAAAGUUGAGGAAUGCUCAUCAAACACUUAUUUGGAACAUCCCACAGAUGUGCAGGCUAAUUGGGAAGAGGUGGGUGCCAUGAUUGGGUAUAAAAGCAGCUUCAAUGAAAUGCUAAGUAAUUCAGAAACAACGAUGGACCAAGGGUCACCAAUUUGUAAGCAAAUUGUCGAACAGUUUUAGAACAACAUUUCUCAACGAGCUAUUACAAGGAAUUUAGGGAUUUUACCAUCAACGGUACGUGAAAUCAUCAAAAGGUUCAGAGAAUCUGGAGAAAUCACUGCACGUAAGCGAUGAUAUUACUUACGGACCUUUGACCCCUCAUGCGGUACUGCAUAAAAACCGACAUCAGUGUGUAAGGAUAUCCCCACAUGGGCUCAGGAACACUUCAGAAAACCACUGUCAGUAACUACAGUUGGUCGCUACAUCUGUAAGUGCAGGUUAAAACUCCACUAUGCAAGGCGAAAGCCAUUUAUCAACAACACCCAGGAAUGCCGCCGGCUGCGCUGGGCCCGAGUUCAUCUACGAUGGACUGAUGCAAAUUGGAAAAGUGUUCUGUGGUUUGACGAGUCCAUAUUUCAAAUUGUAUUUGGAAACUGUGGACGUGGUGUCCUCCGGAACAAAGAGGAAAAUAACCAUCUGGAUUGUUAAAGGUGCAAAGUUCAAAAGCCAGCAUCCGUCAUGGUAUGGGGGUGUAUUAGUGCCCAAGGCAUGGGUAACUUACACAUCUGUGAAGGCACCAUUAAUGCUGAAUGGGCCAUACAGGUUUUGGAGCAACAAAUGUUGUCAUCCAAGCAACGUUAUCCUGGACGCCCCUGCUUAUUUCAGCAAAAAAAUGCCAAGCCACGUGUUACAACCGCGUGGCUUCGUAGUAAAAGAGUGCAAAUACUUACCUGGCACGCCUGCAGUCCAGACCUGUCUCCCAUCAAAAAUGGGUGGAGCAUUAUGAAGCGUAAAAUACGACAACAAGACCCCGGACUGUUGAACAACUUAAGCUGUACAUCACAAAGAAUGUUAAAGAAUUACACUUUCAAAGUUUCAACUAUUAGUUUCCCCUACAUUUAUUGAGUGGUGUUAAAAGAAAAGGUGAUUUAACACUGUGGUGAACAUGCCCUUUCCCUACUACUUUGGCACGUGUUGCAGACAUGAAAUUCUAAGUUAAUUAU